rnacentral:rRNA from 1 species
GGGCCCGCACAAGCGGUGGAGCAUGUGGUUUAAUUCGAUGAUACGCGAGGAACCUUACCAGGGCUUAAAUGUAAGUUGCAUAGAUCAGAGAUGGUCUUUUCUUCGGACUACUUACAAGGUGCUGCAUGGUUGUCGUCAGCUCGUGCCGUGAGGUGUCAGGUUAAGUCCUAUAACGAGCGCAACCCCUGUCGUUAGUUACCAGCAAGUAAUGUUGGGUACUCUAGCGAGACUGCCGGUGCAAACCGUGAGGAAGGUGGGGAUGACGUCAAAUCAUCACGGCCCUUACGUCCUGGGCUACACACGUGCUACAAUGGCCGGUACAGAGAGCAGCCACUACGCGAGUAGGAGCGAAUCCACAAACACUAUCUCAGUUCGGAUCGGAGUCUGCAACUCGACUCCGUG